CUACUCCUACGGGAGGCAGCAGUAGGGAAUCUUCCGCAAUGGACGAAAGUCUGACGGAGCAACGCCGCGUGAGUGAUGAAGGCUUUCGGGUCGUAAAACUCUGUUGUUAGGGAAGAACAAGUGCUAGUUGAAUAAGCUGGCACCUUGACGGUACCUAACCAGAAAGCCACGGCUAACUACGUGCCAGCAGCCGCGGUAAUU
rnacentral:rRNA from 1 species